AUGAUGGCGAUGGUGGUCAUGGUGGCAUCAGUGGUGGCCAUGAUGGUAUCAAUGAUGGCAGUGGUGUCAAUGGUGGUCAUGGUAGUGUCAGUGUUGAUGGUGUUGGUGUCAAUGUUGGCAGCGGUGGUGUUGAUGGUGGCACCAUUGAUUGCAACGGUGGUGUUGAUGGUGGCAGUGUUGUUGAUGAUGGUGGUGGUGGUGGUGGUGUCAGUGAUGGUGGUGGUGAUGAUGAUGAUGGCAGGGGUGGUUGUGGUGGUGUCAUUGAUGGCAAUGGUGGUGUCAAUGAUGGUGAUGGUGGUCAUGGUGGCAUCAGCGAUGGCAGUGGUGGUCAUGGUGGUGUCAGUAUUGGUGGUGUUGGUGUCAAUGAUGGCAACAAUGGUGUCAAUGGUGGCAGUUGUUGUUGAUGGUGGUGAUGGUGUCCGUGAUGGCAGUGGUGUCAGUGAUGGUGAUGGUGGUCAUGGUGGUGUCAGUGAUGAUGGCGGUGAUGAUGAUGAUGGCAGGGGUGGUUGUGAUGGUGUCAAUGAUGGCAGUGGUGCCAAUGAUGGUGGUGGUGGUCAUGGUGGCAUUAGUGAUGGCAACUCUGGUGGUGGUGGUGGUGUCAGUGGUGGUCGUGGUGGUGUCCAUGAUGAUGGUGGUGAUGAUGUCAAUGGUGGAGGUGGUGAUGAUGAUGACUGGGGCGGUUGUGGUGGUGUCAAUGAUGGCUGUGGUGUCAGUGAUGGUGACGGUGGUCAUGGUGGUGUCAGUGAUGAUGGCGGUGGUGGUGUCAAUGAUGGCAGUGGUGGUUAUGAUGGUGUCAGUGAUGAUGGCGGUGUUGUCAGUGGAGUGGUGUUGAUGGUGAUGAUGUCAAUGGUGGCAGUGGUGGCAGUGUUGGUGAUGAUGAUGGCAGCGGGGGUUGUGGUGGUGUCGAUGAUGGUGGUGGUCAUGGUUGGUGUCAGUGAUGAUGGUGCUGGUGACGACAGUGUUGAUGGUGACGGUGUCAAUGAUGGCGGUGGUGGUGGUGUCACCUCAAUUGUAGCAAUGAUGAUGGCAGUGGUGGUGAUGGGGUCAGUGAUGGUGUCAAUGGCAGCAAUGGUGUCAGUGUGGUGUUGGUGGCCGUGGCUGUGGUGUCAGUGGUGGUGGCAGUGUUGGUGGUGGUGA
rnacentral:lncRNA from 1 species